rnacentral:rRNA from 1 species
GUGCCAGCAGCCGCGGUAAUACGUAGGUGGCAAGCGUUGUCCGGAAUUAUUGGGCGUAAAGCGCGCGCAGGUGGUUCCUUAAGUCUGAUGUGAAAGCCCACGGCUCAACCGUGGAGGGUCAUUGGAAACUGGGGAACUUGAGUGCAGAAGAGGAAAGUGGAAUUCCAAGUGUAGCGGUGAAAUGCGUAGAGAUUUGGAGGAACACCAGUGGCGAAGGCGACUUUCUGGUCUGUAACUGACGCUGAGGCGCGAAAGCGUGGGGAGCAAACAGGAAAAGAUACCCUGGUAGUCC